rnacentral:lncRNA from 1 species
CUUGACAUCUUAACCGGCAUGGCGCAACCACGGAUUAAUUAUUAAAAAAAAAAAAAAAAAACAAAAGACGCCAUUUUUUCGAAUUUGGCUCCGAUAUUAAACGACAAACUAGCGUAAAUGAGAUUCUAGGGGUAUUUCCUCCUCUUAUCGCUCUUUCCUACUAAAACUGAAGGGGGAGCCACUCGAGGAGAGAGAGAUCAGCCAGUCGUGUGAACUGAUGGUGCAUCAAAUAAGUGACAUUCUUAUUUCCGUCUUGUCGUCACCUUAUGCUUUACUCAUUACCAUCUUCAGUCCGAAACCUUUCACUCAUUUCCAAAACACAAGUGUAGUGUAUGUGUGUGUGUGCGCGCACACUAGGGGGAGAAGAGGGAGAACAAUUUUUUUUUUCCUCCUGUGUCUUUCCCUGUCUCCCGCGUGAGAGACAGAAGAGGUCGUUAAGAUUUUAAAAUGAAAAUGUAACGACUAAAUAAUUUAGAUUUUCUCGAGAAGUGUUAAACGCGUCGUUUGUAGGGAAAAGCGAAUGUUUUGUGCGUGUAUGUGUAUGUGUUAGUGCAUCGCGCGCUUGGUGUGUAAAAGAAGCAAACUUGAAUCUAAUCGGAUAGUCUGCAGUUUUGCCUUUAAAUGUAAACAGAUGACAGACUGGAAAUGGAGAGCAUUUGUACCUGUCAGACACGUUUCUGCACAUAUUGAAAACCUUGGGUAGUUUUUGACAGAGAGAGAGAAUUCCAUACGUCAAUCUAAAUCUAUGUCUAAUCGAAAUGGAGCUUGUAAAUCUGAUUUUGAAGUCACGAGAAGAUGUAGCUCCUGCUGCUCCUGCUGCUGCUGUUGUUGCUGUUGCUACUACCACUACAACUACCACCACUGUCGUCGCUGCUGCUGUUUUGCUGCAUAUCCCACCGACGAGAAAGAUUUCCACCAAAAAGUUUAUAUGGAGGAUAUUCGUUAUUGAAUCACAUUUGAUUUCCUACAUCCUUAUAAACGAAAUUUUUCUCCUGGCAACGGGGGGGAGAAAAUUCCGUUUAAUGAAAUUUUUCUGAUAUCGACAAUAAUUCAUUACUCCCAAUUUUUUCUUUUUUUUUUGAGUGUUUCCUGCCAACGAUAUUUCAGCAAAAAUAUAUGUUCGUUCUAUUUCGUGGUUUAAUCGAAUGGCAAUUAAUACUCGAUUGUCGUACUACUAUAGCAACAAUCGUCGAUGC